rnacentral:rRNA from 1 species
CCCGGGUCUUGUACACACCGCCCGUCAAGUGAUGGGAAUUGGUUCCACCUGAAGUCGGGGCGCUAACCGUAAGGAAGUAGCCGACCACGGUGGGGUCAGUGACUGGCACU